rnacentral:rRNA from 1 species
UACAUGGGGUGCAAACGUUGCUCGGAAUUAUUGGGCGUAAAGCGCACGUAGGCGGUCCGCUAUGUCGGGUGUGAAAGCCCUCGGCUUAACCGAGGAAGUGCAUUCGAACUGGCGGACUUGAGUACCGGAGAGGGUAGUGGAAUUCCCGGUGUAGUGGUGAAAUGCGUAGAUAUCGGGAGGAACACCAGUGGCGAAGGCGACUACCUGGCCUGUCUUGACGCUGAGGCGCGAAAGCUAGGGAGCAACGGG